GUUAUUUUUGAUCAUAAUCCCUUCUACUCCGGUAUAUAGCAUUUUUUCAUUAAUUCAGAAUUACGAAAAAAAUAAAUAAAAAUGGAACUACAUCAUAUAUGUAGCUGCCACAGGAAGGAUCCAAAAUUAAUGUCAAACAAUACCAAAAUCGUAAUACUUUCCUUCCGGCAAAACGUAUUCGCUAGUUAAUUUAAAUAUAAAACCAGCACGGGUAUAUAAACUUGGGCUUACCAAAGCAAGCUUCCUUUUUUGUGAGCCUCUGAUGGUUAACUUCUUAAAGCACGGGAAAAUGAAUCGCUCCAUCAAAAAUGUAUUUUGAGAGGUGAUAAUUUCGGCCUACAAUCUGGAAGGAGGUUAAACUAAGAAACGUUAAGGCUUCUUUGGUCCUGACAAAAAUAUAAUUUGUGUUUCUUACUUAAAAACACUUUUACGUUAAAAAUAAACAGAAAACCAAAUUCUUUCGGUCAUCCGU